GCGAAAACUGACUCCUGUGACCUCCGCAGGAUAACUGUGUAUCGCGUGUUGUGUGAAUACAGGGGUGUGCCAUAGCCGUAGCAAUGUGAGCUCACACCGUUCUACCCUUCACAGCUUUGCUCUGUGUCGUCCAGCACUUAAUAGCAAUGAAGUUUGGCUCUGUUUGAAGAUCGUCUUCAGCUUUCACCUUUGGGCAUCCAUGGUUGGAUCACUGCUUACUGUUUCCUGCUGGCCUGCUCUAAAUUUGGAGGUAUGCGUCUUCCCCGGGGAGCGGCUUGCUUUGUCCCUCACCCUGCUGAAACAGCUUCCUAUUAUUUUUAGUGCGUGAUGGGAUUUGAUUACUAACAGCUCGGUACCCUUUUUCUCUCCUUUUUUCAAGCCGUGUUUAACAGGAAUGGACCAAAUGCCAUCGGUAUACUUGUUAAUAAAUUUGCACUCCCUUGGUGAUGGAGCGCUGUGCCUUUGGAGGAGCUCUGGGGAGUGAGCCCUGCUUGCUGCACAGGAACAUAAGGGAGAGCAGCACCUCCCUGGAAGUCUCUAAGUGCGGAAACUCCCAUUGAGGAGAGCAGUUUAACACGUUUGUAUUCUGACCUUCCAGCCUAGCCACGUGCCCAAGGCCUGAGCCUGCAGCUGCGUGUGUGCUUGGCAGAUGGGCAGCUCCGGGCCAUCAGCCUCCCCCUGCUCUGCCACGGCACGGCCAUUGCGUCCCAUGGAGGGGUGGAUAGGUGGAGCUGCCGCCCCUUCCCCAUGAGGGACGUGGGUCCUAACCUGAGCCCCAGAGCUCGGGGAAGCGCAGGCCACGUACUGUGGGCCUUAGGGAAAUGACAGUGCUUUCAUGUCGGUUUUCUAAUCAGAAGAACCUGUUCCUUAUGGAUGGACCAAAUGGGCGCAUCGCGUCAUAGCCAAACGGGAGCCGUGUACGCACAGGUGGGGGUGCAGGCUUCCGUGCUGUCAGCCAGAACCUGCGGCUGGCCCUGUGCGGGGCUCUGCAUGCCAGGCAGGGUGCAGGCAGGAGUGUGGCCGAGACCUUCUUACAGUGAAACACUUUUUAUGGGGCGACGGAAAAGUACACAGAAAGGAAGUGAAGAGCUCCGCACUUGGGCUUCUGAUGCAGAGUCAAGGAGGAAUAGUGGAAAUACUGGAAAUGGAGAAUGGCAACGAGUUAAAUCACAUUCCAGUCUUGCGUGGAAGUGUGAAACUGCUGCAAAGCACACGGCUCUCACAGCUCCAUUGACUCCAGUGAGAUGCACGCGGCUAAGUGAGUUGGAAUGAACUCAUCAGGUGGAGGGGGAGCAGAGCAGAUCUUUAUGAAUUUAAAGCACACUGGGCAAUAACUGAAAUGCCUGAAAAUCACCACAGCACAGGUAGGUGUGAAUUUAUGCCAAUCUGCAAAGAGUACUUUUUGUUUCUUCAUUAUUGAGGAGCAGAUGAUUAUGUUAUGUCAUAUCGCCGGGAGGGAUGAGAUUAGAAGCCUGGGGAAUGGGAAUAUCAUUAGAAAAGCAAAGAUGAUGAUAUUUGCUUUGGGAAAAAGGUCAGUAAGUGGUUGGCACUGUAUUGCAGUUACAGCAACAACUGCAGCCAGCAGCGUCUGAGUGCCCGCUUUGACACCGCGUUCUGUUCAAACAACAAUCGUUAUGCAUUUUUGGGAUUAGGUGGUAAAUGGAUUACUGGGAAAUUCUCAAAAUAAAAACGUGUAAUCCCUUUACAAAGUGUGGCUGACAAUUGAGAAGCACCAUUUUAACAGGUGAUCUUUUUAUUUUUUUUUUUAGAUUUUGGCAUUAAAAAAUAGAAUAUAGGUCAUUCUGCCUGGCUCAAGCUGUUUGAUUAUUUUGUUAAAUAAAGGGAAUAUUCACAUUAUAUUUGCCAAAGCUAAUAUUUACCUUGUACAGCACAUAAAGGCAGAAUCAUAUCGAGUGAAACCAAGAGAGGAAGAGAAUAAACUCUUCUCAGGGUCCACUGUAGACAGAACAAAUAUUAAUGGGCUUAAAUUGUAGUAAGGCGGUCGGGAAAGAUACCAGAAAAAAAAUCUGUCAGUGAUGCAGUAGGGAGGCAUGGGAGGGGGUAGCAGGGGGAUGCCUCGGAGCUGCUCUGGCUGGUAAGCAUUAACCCACUUCUUGGCAGUGUUCACCUGCAGCAGAACUGCUCUGGGACAGACGUAACUCUCUCUUCAAGUCCUUCCCACCCCCAUUUUCUAAUGCUUUUAAUAAGGCUGUCGUUAGACUGGGAAUUUAAUCUCCCACAAGUCAUCUUUGCUGCGUGAAGAUGCUGCUCCCCAGCCCAGUCUCUCUCGUGCUCGUAGCCGUGCAGCACAGGAGCCGUGCAGUAGCUCCCAUUGCUGUGGGGUGAAGGCAGCAGCGCUGCUGGGGCUGCGCAGCUGCUGCUCCCUGCUCUGCACGGUGAGGGGAUGGGGUGCGCUGAGUUCCCGCACCAGUGGCUGCCACAGAGGAAUCGAGAUGCAAAGGAAGAGGUGAGACUGAGUUCUCCUCCAAGUUAGCCACUCUUUAUUUCUUUUCCCAUUACAUGAGAAAUACGAAAGUUUGAAAGACACCAAGAAGCAGGGACAGCACGGACAGAACAGACACUGCGCAACGCUGGGGUGAGAACAUCAGGACGUAACGAGCCUGUGAUGCGGAGACUUGCUGAGCGCUACUACAGUGGGAAUGGAGGUGUGAGCACAAGGGGUAAGCUGGAAAUUCAGACCGGACAUUUACAGUACAUAGUUUAUGUAGAAAAAUAUUGUUCUUGAGAAUUUUGCAUUUCUUUUGCUGCAGCCCCAGCAUUAACGAGCCCACUGCAUCUUAUACCCUGAUAGCCAUCACUGCUUUCAAGUUUUCUUCAGGUCAGAGGGGGAGAAAACAUUUAAUGAGAAAAGAUCUUCUCUUCCUAUGCUGGACCAUGUCCACGCACCUCCUAAAGCCAGGGCGCUUCGAGUGCCGGCUGGAGUCAGAGGCGCGUCACACACUGUGCCCAGCAGCAACUGCAGGGAGAGACUGGGCACCGUCACCCCCACUGGGACAGGGCAGGCAGGGGACGACACCAGGACGGCUGAGAGGAGGGCAGGGGGGCAGUGGGUGCCAGCCGGGGGUUGCUGCUACGCGGGGCUGCAGGAGGAGCACACGUGGUGACCCGGGCAGGGAGCCCACGACACCGCGAGCAGCAGCCCUGGAGCAGCGCAGCCACGCUGCAGCGUGAGCAGCUGGAGCAGCCGUGCGACGUGCAGCCUUGGGUUAAUGCUGGAGAUAUCAUUAAAUGAGUAAUUAAGAAGCAGAUUCUCUCCCUACCUGCUCUUAAUAGAACAGCUCCUCAACAACCUUCCCUGUGGGGAAUGUCUGUGUUAUCAUUAAGUCUGUCGGGUGUAUUUCAGAAGUAAAAAUAUUUCUGAAAACAU